rnacentral:lncRNA from 1 species
GUAGAUGACAAACUGAUGAUAAGACAACAUUUUCAGCCCUAUAAUAUUAUUGUAGGUGCUGGAGGUAUAGUGGUAGACAGACCAGAUAGAGACUCACUGCAAUGUAAAGAAAGUGAACAGGAAUCUAAGAUGGAAAAAAUACAGUGGUUGGUGGGCCUUUUAAAGCAAAUUUGCCAUAUUAUUCUCAAGAGAGUUAUGAUUUUAAAAUGUACUGCAAAUACAUGGAGAAAAAUCUUCUUUAUUUCUAUUCAGUAUUCAGCACAAACCCGGUUUAAAGUUUGGCAGCAAAUUGAAUUUUAGAAACAAUGAGUUUCAGCCCUGUGCAUUAUGGGAAGUACAGCCCACUUGCUGAGUCCUCUGUUCUAAAGGGGAAUGCUAUGCACUUUGUAUGGCAGACCAGAGGCUCUUCAUUUCCGUGCAGAAAGUAGGUUUCGUAUCACAGGAAGCUCCUGCUUUUCUUUUUCUCCAAUGCUCCUUAGGUUUGUGCUCAGAAUGGAAGGGCCUCCCCUGCGCCGCGCCGCCCCUCUUUCCCACGGCCCCAGAAUCUGUGUCCUUUACUUCCUGGCAGUCAUCAGCUGCUGGGUUUUCCUUCUCGUCUUUUCUGAAAGCAGGAAACGCAGAGGAGGUGCCUUGGAGACUGAAGGCAGCUUGCGCAGUGGUCUGACCUCUGCUCCACCCCACUUGGCUCUCUGCCAAGGGCAGUGGGGCAGCCAUGUGACCAAACCUGAUCUUCAGAGGCAGGAGAAUCUCCCUGCCCCCACCCUGGCUACACUAGUACCCAGCUGCUGGAGUCAGUUUUGUUCCCUUAAAGCUGUCUUGAUCCUAUAUAGGCACAGUCCGAUUUGAAAGUAUUAUUCAAAAGAAUCAAACAGAUCUGAGACACUGUUAAACUUAGUCCUGCUCAUGAACAUCUUGUUUCGCCUGCUCUGGUUUGAAAUCUUGUCUUAGCUUGUUUCAUGAGGACCUUAUGAAGCAUUCCCCCUGCCCCGCACCCCAGAAAAUGGAGCAAUACAGUCGUUAAGCCCAUUGUCUCCUCCCAGCCUUGCCCAGACUCAGAGCACAAUGCCUGGACACAUGAGGCUGCAGAUUGUUAUUCACUGCUCACAGAGAGGCCAAGUGAGUUGGGAUUAGCCUCAACAAUGCACCCUGCUAUUUGCUAUUUGGCCAGGAGCAAGGUUCUCAUCCAAUACAAUGCUUGUGCACGUUCAGCUCAUUGCUUGUCUGUGCACAUCCCCACACACAGGGAGGACUUUUACAAUCCAAAGUGACAACCGUGUGUCCUUGGCUCUGUUCCCGCCAGGGACAGGAAGGAGACUUAUCUGCUCUCUGCAUUCUAUCUCCUUGGCUGCUGACCCUCUAAUGCAUUUAUCUGAGCAAAAGACUUGAGUUUGCUUGUACUGUUUAUACAGACAUCUUGUGCUGGUUAUUAAGGCAUUUUCAUUAAUAAAGAAGCAUUUUGACUUUACCUCAAGUGGGCACAAAGCUAUCCAGGCAUGAUGACAAGAACUUCACUGGAUCAAUGCUAGAAAAUUCCUUCAAGCAAAGGGAAAUCAAGAUGAAGAGAAAGAUGGCCAAGAGAGUCAUAUGUGGGGUUUCCCAGGUGGUGCAGUGGUAAAGAAUCUGACUGCAAUGCAGGAGACUCAGGAGAUGUAGGUUCAAUCCCUGGGUCAGAAAGAUCCCCUGAGUUGGGAAAUGGAAAUCCACUCCAGUAUUCUUACCUGGAAAAUUCCAUGGACAGAGGAGCUUGGUGGGCUACACUCCGUGAGGUCACAAAGAGUCAGACAUAACAGAGUACAUAUACAAGGCUGUGUUUCUGAAUGUAAGCAAAAUGUUUGAAGAAUAGACUUAAGUUUUAUAAAAGAACAAGACUGUUGCAUUUAGAGUGCUAAAAUUGUUAUAAAAUUUCUAAGUCCAAGUCUUGUAAAGUCUUGCCUCCCUUCAGUCCUUAUUUGAUUAGAUCCCUUUUGGGGUGAGGAUAGAGAGUGAGGGACUCCUGACUCAUAGGAAGCCAGUGUUACUACCAGUACCUGCCAAAGAGCUAUCAUUUUAAGUCCAAAUAUUUAUUCCAGCAACAGAGGCUGACAGAAACUGACCAUCAUUCUGAAUUUAGUACCAACAGGUAUGCAAUGAUCACCAGUGUGUGAAGAAGCCUCUAUAUGAGAAGUUUACUCACCCAAGUUACCUCCUUGUUGUGCCUAGAGCAAAACUCAACCCUUCUAAUCAAUACCUGUAUUACUUUUCUAUUGCUCAUGAGACAAACUGCCCCACCAUUACAGGUUUUAAAGCACAGACUUAGCAUCUUAUAGUUCUAGUGUCCCAAAGUCCAAAAUGGGUCUCUUUGGGGGGUGGCGGAAUCAAGGUUUCAGCAGAGUUACUUUGUUUCUGGAGAUUGUAGCAGGAAAUACUGGGUUGGUCAAAAAGAUCAUUUGGGUUUUUUUUCUGUAAGAUGUUAUGAACUUUUUGGCCAAUGCAAUACAUUUCAUCUCCUUUUUCAGCUUCUAGAAGUUGCCCACAAUCCUUGGUUCAUGGCUUCUUCCAGCAAUCUCACACCUCUGACACCUACACCCAUUGUCACAUCUCCUUUUAAGACCCUCCUGUCUCUCUCUUUCUCUUAUAAGGACCCUUGUGGUUACACUGGGCACACUCAGAUAACCCAGAUCAUGUCAAGAUCAUUAAUUUAGUCACAUGUGUAAAAUCCUCUUUGCCGUGUAAGGUAAUACAGUCACAGUUUCAAUGAUUAAAACUUGGACAUCUCUGGAGGCUAUUAUUCUGCCAAACACAAUACCCUUUUCUAUAUACAAACUAGAAGUUAUUAGACAUUUCUGUAUUUAACUCUUCCUGCUCUACUCAUCUCAACUGACCACCUGAGCCUUCUUUUCCCCAAAGUAUUUCUUUGUAGCUUUCUGCUCCUUUAUAUGAUUGAAAGCUUCUUGAAAAAGUAGAUGCUGUGUUCUACUUACUUAUUAUUGUAUUCUUCAGAAUCCUUAGCAUGAUGAAAAAAAUGUCAAUAAAAUGGACUUACUGAAAAUUUAAAACUUGCUCAUUGAGAGACAUCAUUGAGUAGUAGGGCAAAAUUAGAUGGAAUUUCUGCUUCCACUGAACAUCUAAAUAACAGGGACCAGAUUUACCUUCCUUCCUGAAACAGCUAAAAAACUGGACAAUAUAUAUGGCACCAUGGUAGGGAAGAGACAUUGAGCCCUGAGAAAUGGGAAAUAUAUGCAUAAGCCCAAUGCUUGCCCUGAUUUGCUCCCUGGAGGGGUUUCUGUCUGAGGCAGAGAGAAAGGGAUAACAGGGAGAUACAUUGAUGGAGUUUAUGUGGACAGGGUUUGCAGGGCACAGAGUGGGAGGAGAGAACAGAGAUCUGUAAAGGGUCCUGCUUGAGUCUUCCACUAAGUACUGAUCAGUGCAGGUUUGUAAGGAGACUAUCAAGGUCUGGGGAAAGAGCUCUCUGAAAAGAUUAGAACAGUGCCAGGAGCUCACUCAAAGCCAGAAAUGGUUCCUGUUCUCACCACAUAGAGUAGAAAACCUCAUAAUUCAUGGGGCAUCAGGUAGAAUUCUUAGAGUCUUAGCGUAAGUUUUAAGACAAACGUACCCUAGAAUAAAGUCUGCUUUAGUUCCACAUCAGUUCAGUUCAGUUCAGUCACUCAGUCAUGUCUGACUCUUUGUGACCGCAUGAAUUACAGCACAGCAGGCUUCCCUGUCCAUCACCAACUCAUGGAGUUUACCCAACUUCAUGUCCAUCAAGUCAGUGAUGCCAUCCAGCCAUCUCAUCCUCUGUCAUCCCCUUCUCCUCCCGCCCCCAAUCCCUCCCAGCAUCAGGGUCUUUUCCAAUGAGUCAACUCUUCACAUGAGGUGGCCAAAGUAUUGGAGUUUCAGCCUCA